GAUGAACGCUGGCGGCGUGCCUAAUACAUGCAAGUCGAGCGAACGGACGAGAAGCUUGCUUCUCUGAUGUUAGCGGCGGACGGGUGAGUAACACGUGGAUAACCUACCUAUAAGACUGGGAUAACUUCGGGAAACCGGAGCUAAUACCGGAUAAUAUUUUGAACCGCAUGGUUCAAAAGUGAAAGACGGUCUUGCUGUCACUUAUAGAUGGAUCCGCGCUGCAUUAGCUAGUUGGUAAGGUAACGGCUUACCAAGGCAACGAUGCAUAGCCGACCUGAGAGGGGGAUCGGCCACACAGGAACUGAGACACGGUCCAGACACCGACGGGAGGCAGCAGUAGGGAAGCUUCCGCAAUGGGCGAAAGCCUGACGGAGCAACGCCGCGUGAGUGAUGAAGGGCUUCGGGUGGUAAAACGCUGUUAUUAGGGAAGAACACAUGUGUAAGUAACUGUGCACAUCUGGACGGUACCUAAUCAGAAAGCCACGGCUAACUACGU
rnacentral:rRNA from 1 species